UCUAAGGACUUCUUAGCCUAACGGCUAGAACACAUUCGAGAACUACGGUUCUCAGAAGGCAAAGUCAAGAGGGCCUCUGAAAGACUUCGGUCCCAAGACCUGUCCUUGAAACUUGUCUUCAAAACCAGCUCGUAUCGAGCUUCUCUAUCAACUACUCGUUUAGUCUUGAGGGAUCAAGUCUCUGGGCGUUAGCCUAUGAGGUUUGUGAUCUCUUGUUCUUUGAAAACUGGAUAGCAAACUUUGUGAUUCAAGACAUCGAAAGUAUCUUUCGAAGCUAUAACUUAGGUUAAGCUACGAAGGGCGCACGGAGGAUGCCUUGGCGCCAAGUGCCGAUGAAGGACGGGGCAAACGCCGAAACGCCUCGGGGAGCCGUAAGCAGGCUGUGAUCCGAGGAUAU
rnacentral:misc_RNA from 1 species